UACAAACCUUUCCUUUCUAUAUCUGAUGUUAUUUUUGUUUAUAUUGUCAGCCGUCUGUUACAACUAAAGAAAUUAAUAAAGCAGUGCAUCAGAUGAUAAUUGAUGCUGGUGCUUAUCCCUCACCCCUUGGUUAUGGUGGAUUUCCAAAAAUUAUGUGCACAUCAUGGAAUACCCGAUUCUAGGCAGUUACAGGUAACUCGAGAGUUCUUGGAAAAGGGAAUAGCUGUUUGCAAGGAUGGUGCUCCUUUUAGAAAAAUUGGCAAGAGAAUCAGGUGUUGAUUAGGCUGGAUUUGAUAAUCUUUGAUUCUAGACAUUAUAAAUUCUGGAGAUCAGGUGUUGACUAAGCUGGCGUGAAUUUUACAUAAGAGAUUGGAGGUGGAAAUUGGGAUUCCCUUUGUGUAAUUGUUGUUUAAUUCGGUUGAUCUUUUAAGCGGGAAAUUCAAUUUCUGUUUAUGACUAAAAAUUUACUUGAUAUAUUGCAUGAUUUUUUUAUGGGUACUGUUUUCUUUAGCUGUCAGCUUUGCUGUCCAAUAUUGGGCUUAACAUCCAUGAAGCUUAUGUUUUCUCCACCACUGAUGACUACUCCCUCGAUGUAUUUGUGGUGGAUGGAUGGCUAGUAGAGGGAUCAUGGUCACGCUAAUUAAUUCCCUUUCAGCUGUGGAGGAACCCUUGGUUGCAAAAGCAAAAUGUGAAAAUUGGGAGAGAGACAAUAGAUUGUUAAAGAUAGAAG